UACAGGGGGGGCAAGCGUUGUUCGGAAUUACUGGGCGUAAAGGGCUCGUAGGUGGCCAACUAAGUCGGACGUGAAAUCCCUCAGCUUAACUGGGGAACUGCGUCCGAUACUGGAUGGCUUGAGUUUGGGAGAGGGAUGCGGAAUUCCAGGUGUAGCGGUGAAAUGCGUAGAUAUCUGGAGGAACACCGGUGGCGAAGGCGGCAUCCUGGACCAACACCGACACUGAGGAGCGAAAGCCAGGGGAGCAAACGGG
rnacentral:rRNA from 1 species